AGAUACAUCGGCUGAAAGAAAAAUCGG
rnacentral:piRNA from 1 species